UACGAAGCGUGCGAGCGUUGUUCGGAUUCACUGGGCUUAAAGGGCGCGCAGGCGGCCUAUCAAGUCUGGGGUGAAAUCCCCGGGCUCAACCGGGGAACUGCCUCGGAUACUGGUUUGCUCGAGAGAGGUAGAGGAGUGCGGAAUUGCGAGUGGAGAGGUGAAAUGCGUAGAUAUCGACAAGAACACCGGUGGCGAAGGCGGCGCUCUGGACCUCUCCUGACGCUGAGGCGCGAAAGCGAGGGGAGCAAACGGGAUUAGAUACCCCGGUAGUCCUCGCCCUAAACGAUGUGUGCUAGACAUUGGAGAACCUAUGUCUUCGGUGUCGACGCUAAAGCAUUAAGUACCCCGCCUGGGGAGUACGGUCGCAAGGUUGAAACUCAAAGGAAUUGACGGGGGCCCGCACAAGCGGUGGAGCAUGUGGUUCAAUUCGAAGCAACGCGCAGAACCUUACCAGCCCUUGACAUGCCACGACGGUUUCCAGAGAUGGAUUCCUCCCCGCAAGGGGCGUGGACACAGGUGCUGCAUGGCUGUCGUCAGCUCGUGUCGUGAGAUGUUGGGUUAAGUCCCGCAACGAGCGCAACCCUCGCCCUUAGUUGCCAUCAUUCAGUUGGGCACUCUAAGGGGACUGCCGGUGAUAAGCCGCGAGGAAGGUGGGGAUGACGUCAAGUCCUCAUGGCCCUUACGGGCUGGGCUACACACGUGCUACAAUGGCGGUGACAGUGGGAUGCAAUGGAGCAAUCCUGCGCAAAUCUCAAAAAGCCGUCUCAGUUCGGAUUGUGCUCUGCAACUCGAGCACAUGAAGUUGGAAUCGCUAGUAAUCGCAGAUCAGCACGCUGCGGUGAAUACGUUCCCGGGCCU
rnacentral:rRNA from 1 species